GAAGGAAUGUGUUAGGAUUGGAAGUUGUCUCUUUAUGUUUCUUUUGAGAUGGUAUGGCCUCUGAGGACCCCCAAGACCAACUGGAUGAGGCUAUUAAAAAGACAGAACGGCUUGCUGAGGAGCUCAACCAAGAGAAGGACCCACAUGCCCAACUGGAAGAGGCAAUUACCGAGCUCAACCCAGAACCGGAAAAUAAGAAGAAAUGGACAAACAAGGUUCAGAUGGAGACAAAUGGAUGAGAGAGGACAGAUUGUUCCUCAAACCAGGAAGACAACUACAUCCACUUCACCAGACCAGUGCAAACUUUUGGGCCAGUCACUGAGAAGGAAGAUUCAGGUCCCUCCACCACUGCCUCCCAUCCCAUCCUGCUGAUGACCUAUCCUGUGCUUCCCUGGACCGGGACCCCCUGAAUCCAUCCGAGGCUUCUGUCCUUGCCCUGGUGGGGCGAAGAGAAGAAGAGGAAGAUUUGCCCCAAGGCCUGCCCAAGAAAGUGCUGAGCUGCUGCUUCCAGAGAGCUGGUGGGAAACUCUCAACAAGGAGCAGCAGCGGUGGAUUGGCCGGACGCUGUUUACCAGGAGCAGCUCGGGGAGGUUCCAAUUCAUCACAGACUUGCGUCCGUGGUGGUACCCUCCCCAACCCCGGCCGGUCUACAAUCAGCCCCCCGCAUCAGCCGACCCCUUCUUCGCAUGUCCGCUGUUCCUCUGGCAUUCUAGCUGACAUGCACCCAGCCUGGGUGUAACUAUCCCGAGGGUCGUGGACAUCAAGGGUUGGUAUCUCAUGGCCACUGAGUCCCUGGAGUGCCCUCGGUGUAAGAAGAAGGUGGCGGGCUGGUCGCAGGACGUCCUGGGUCAGCUGGACCCUGCGCAUCGCUGCCAGUUUCCAGCGAUU